UACGUAGGGUGCAAGCGUUAAUCGGAAUUACUGGGCGUAAAGCGUGCGCAGGCGGCUAUGCAAGACAGAUGUGAAAUCCCCGGGCUCAACCUGGGAACUGCAUUUGUGACUGCAUGGCUAGAGUACGGUAGAGGGGGAUGGAAUUCCGCGUGUAGCAGUGAAAUGCGUAGAUAUGCGGAGGAACACCGAUGGCGAAGGCAAUCCCCUGGACCUGUACUGACGCUCAUGCACGAAAGCGUGGGGAGCAAACGGG
rnacentral:rRNA from 1 species